rnacentral:misc_RNA from 1 species
GUAGGUGAACCUGCGGAAGGAUCAUUAUUAAUAAUACUUCGAUUAGAUCGAAAUUUUUAUAUCCAAGAGUGUGAAUCUUUAAACAUGACGAUAUAUUUUAAAACAAACCCACCAAACAACCACAACAAUAAUAAUAAUAAAAAGAACCAAAAAAAUAUACAAUACAUAGAGUAAUGAGAAAAAAACAACAACAACUCUAGGCAAUGGAUAUCUUGGUUCCC